rnacentral:rRNA from 1 species
UACAGAGAGUGCAAGCGUUAAUCGGAAUCAUUGGGCGUAAAGCGCACGUAGGUGGAUAUUUAAGUCGGAUGUGAAAUCCCUGGGCUUAACCUAGGAAUUGCAUUCGAUACUGGAUAUCUAGAGUAUGGUAGAGGGAAGUGGAAUUUCCGGUGUAGCGGUGAAAUGCGUAGAUAUCGGAAGGAACACCAGUGGCGAAGGCGGCUUCCUGGACCAAUACUGACACUAAAGUGCGAAAGCGUGGGGAGCAAACAGG